CCUACGGGAGGCAGCAGUGGGGAAUUUUGGACAAUGGGCGCAAGCCCGAUCCAGCCAUUCCGCGUGCAGGACGAAGGCCUUCGGGUUGUAAACUGCUUUUGUACGGAACGAAAAAGCCUUGGUUAAUACCCAGGGUCCAUGACGGUACCGUAAGAAUAAGCACCGGCUAACUACGUGCCAGCAGCCGCGGUAAUACGUAGGGUGCAAGCGUUAAUCGGAAUUACUGGGCGUAAAGCGUGCGCAGGCGGUUAUAUAAGACAGAUGUGAAAUCCCCGGGCUCAACCUGGGAACUGCAUUUGUGACUGUAUAGCUAGAGUGCGGCAGAGGGGGAUGGAAUUCCGCGUGUAGCAGUGAAAUGCGUAGAUAUGCGGAGGAACACCGAUGGCGAAGGCAAUCCCCUGGGCCUGCACUGACGCUCAUGCACGAAAGCGUGGGGAGCAAACAGGAUUAGAUACCCUGGUAGUCCACGCCCUAAACGAUGUUAACUGGUUGUUGGGUCUUCACUGACUCAGUAACGAAGCUAACGCGUGAAGUUGACCGCCUGGGGAGUACGGCCGCAAGGUUGAAACUCAAAUGAAUUGACGG
rnacentral:rRNA from 1 species